rnacentral:rRNA from 1 species
GUCUACGGCCAUGGUACCCUGAACAAGCCCAAUUCCAUCUGAUCUCAGAAGUUAAGCAGGGUUGGGCCUGGUUAGUACUUGGAUGGGAGACCUCCUAGGAAGACCAGAUGCUGUAGGUG